rnacentral:misc_RNA from 1 species
GAUGAAGAACGUAGUGAAAUGCGAUACUUGGUGUGAAUUGCAGAAUCCCGUGAAUCAUCGAGUCUUUGAACGCAAGUUGCGCCCGAAGCCUUUUGGCCGAGGGCACGUCUGCCUGGGUGUCACGCAACGUCGCCGCCAGCACACCCUUCCCUUAGGGGAUCGGGAUGUAGCUGGGGGCGGAUUUUGGCCUCCCGUGCGCCUCAGCGCGCGCGGUUGGCCUAAAUUUCAGCUCACGGCGAGGAUCGCCACGACAAGCGGUGGUUUUUUGAACUAAGGACCUCGGGUGUUGUCGUGCGGCCUCGCGGAGAGAAGGAACCCUCGUGCGCUAGCGCACACUCUUAACGAGACCCCAGGUCAGUCGGGAACACCCGCUGAAUUUAAGCAUAUCAAUAAGCGGAGGA